rnacentral:lncRNA from 1 species
AUGCAUAAUUCAAAGCGCUUUAGAAAUCAUUAUAAAUAUCAUAUUGUUUUACAAAUAGCGAUAUUUACAUCACAGAGAAGUCAGCAGAAACACCUAAAGUGGACAACUGAGAAGACUGGGAAUAAUGAGCCACAUAUGCUUUUCUUCCGCACUCCAAAUUCACUGUGUGCGUUUGAGAUUCUGAAAAAACAAGAAGAGAGUCCCAGGAAGGAUUUUUCAUUAAAGCUGGUACUUUUAACAACACAGAGGAGGAAACAGAAGCAUGAAUUACACUACUGCAGUUUCAACAGAGAAAAAAUACAAGGACCAGAGAGCUACUUUUGAAGAUCUAGAACAUGUUGAGUAAUUCAUCAAAAGGAAAAGGCUCAGUAUUACCGCAUGUCAAAAGUAUAGUAAAAACAUCCCUUUAUACAACUGAUUUCAUUUUUAUUGCUUCAGUUAGGUUGCUAAUACCAAAGGCAGUUUGGAAACACUCAGAUAAAAAAAGUUCAAUAUUUUCUCUUGCGCCGUCACCUCCUCUGUUGGUCCCUCUUCUGCAGCUUUGGUGUCAUCUACUAUACAGUACAAGCACUUGAUGUGAGAAUGCCAUAAUUUGUAAUUUGGAUAAUGUUUGGAGUACAAGUAACAAUUGGGAGAAGUACUGAUAACUUUUGAUGUUGAUGGCACUUAACCAGUGUCCUGCUGUCUGUGAUGGCCUUUGCAAUGUUUACCACUGGUGCACUCAGUGAAACACAAAGUCAUGAUUUGUGUUUGGAUUAUAACAAUGCUUUAAAGCUUUGUCUGUUACUGAGAGAAGGCCUAGAAGAAAGACCUGGAGAUAUAUUCAGAACAGAAUCUCCUUACCUAACUGUGCUUGUCGCUGCUUUCGCCAGAACAGCUGGAAUAGUUUUAAUUGUAGUUCUUAUAAUUGUCAUUGUAAUGCUGCUGCUUCUUAUGCAGAGAAGGAAAACAUGCUGGUCAUCUCAAUAACUCAAACAGAAAGGGGGAAGGGGAACCAUCAUUAUUCAUGGACUGCAAAUGAGUUUGCAUCUUCUGCUACUGUUGAUAAUAACAGCCGUUGGAAGACACCCUGCUAACACUCUUUUACAUUUAUCAGCCAUUGUUGUUUUGUCAUUUGCACAAUACUUUACUUUAGCCCUGUGGUUUAUGGCCUGCAAAACAAAGAACUGCGAACCAAGCUUUUCAAAGGCAAAGACUUAGUUCAUUUACUGACCACAUGACAAACAGUAAUGACAUAGCAGCUGUUUAGCUUACUGAGUUAGAUAACUAGUCCUAAGUGUAAAAAUCUAGCUCUUCCAGCUUCUCAGAAAAUACACUCAUCCCAGCACUGUAAAACAAGCAAGCAAAUAAACAAGAAAGCUUUCGAUACUCCUGCA